UGACCUCAAAUCAGGUAGGACUACCCGCUGAACUUAAGCAUAUCAAUAAGCGGAGGAAAAGAAACUAACAAGGAUUCCCCUAGUAACUGCGAGUGAAGCGGGAAAAGCUCAAAUUUAAAAUCUGGCGGUCUUUUGGCUGUCCGAGUUGUAAUCUAGAGAAGUGUUAUCCGCGCUGGACCGUGUACAAGUCUCCUGGAAUGGAGCAUCAUAGAGGGUGAGAAUCCCGUCUUUGACAUGGACUGCCAGGGCUUUGUGAUGCGCUCUCAAAGAGUCGAGUUGUUUGGGAAUGCAGCUCAAAAUGGGUGGUAAAUUCCAUCUAAAGCUAAAUAUUGGCGAGAGACCGAUAGCGAACAAGUACCGUGAGGGAAAGAUGAAAAGAACUUUGGAAAGAGAGUUAAACAGUACGUGAAAUUGCUGAAAGGGAAACGCUUGAAGUCAGUCGCGUCGUCCAGGGAUCAACCUUGCUUUUGCUUGGUGCACUUUCUGGUUCGAUGGGUCAGCAUCAAUUUUGACUGUUGGAAAAAGGUUGAGGGAAUGUGGCAUCUUUGGAUGUGUUUAUAGCCCUUGGUCACAUACAAUGGUUGGGAUUGAGGAACUCAGCACGCCGCAAGGCCGGGUUUUAAACCACGUACGUGCUUAGGAUGC
rnacentral:rRNA from 1 species